UUGUCUCAAAGAUUAAGCCAUGCAUGUCUCAGUACAAGCCGAAUUAAGGUGAAACCGCGAAAGGCUCAUUAAAUCAGUUAUGGUUCCUUAGAUCGUACCCACAUUUACUUGGAUAACUGUGGUAAUUCUAGAGCUAAUACAUGCAAACAGAGCUCCGACCGGAGACGGAAGGAGCGCUUUUAUUAGAUCAAAACCAAUCGGCGGCGGGUGCGAGCCCGUCGUCGUUCACUCUGGUGAAUCUGAAUAACUUACUGCUGAUCGCACGGUCUAGCACCGGCGACGCAUCUUUCAAAUGUCUGCCUUAUCAACUGUCGAUGGUAGGUUCCGUGCCUACCAUGGUCGUAACGGGUAACGGGGAAUCAGGGUUCGAUUCCGGAGAGGGAGCCUGAGAAACGGCUACCACAUCCAAGGAAGGCAGCAGGCGCGCAAAUUACCCACUCCCGGCACGGGGAGGUAGUGACGAAAAAUAACGAUACGGGACUCAUCCGAGGCCCCGUAAUCGGAAUGAGUACACUCUAAACCCUUUAACGAGGAUCAAUUGGAGGGCAAGUCUGGUGCCAGCAGCCGCGGUAAUUCCAGCUCCAAUAGCGUAUAUUAAAGUUGUUGCGGUUAAAAAGCUCGUAGUCGAAUCUGUGUCCCGCGCCGCCGGUUCAUCGCUCGCGGUGUUUAACUGGCGUGUCCGCGGGACGUCCUGCCGGUGGGCUUAGCUCGCGAGGGCGGCCCAACUUCGAAUCCCGCCGCGGUGCUCUUCACUGAGUGUCGAGGCGGGCCGGCACGUUUACUUUGAACAAAUUAGAGUGCUUAAAGCAGGCUAAAACUUCGCCUGAAUACUGUGUGCAUGGAAUAAUGGAAUAGGACCUCGGUUCUAUUUUGUUGGUUUUCGGAACCCCGAGGUAAUGAUUAAUAGGAACGGAUGGGGGCAUUCGUAUUGCGACGUUAGAGGUGAAAUUCUUGGAUCGUCGCAAGACGGACAGAAGCGAAAGCAUUUGCCAAAAACG
rnacentral:rRNA from 1 species